AUUAAUCCCCAUCAUGAGGUCUCUGCCUUUGUGAUCUAAUCUGUUCCCAGAGGCCCUACCUCCUAAUGUUUAAGGUUUUGGAUUAUCACACAUGAAUUUUGGGGAGACGAACAUUUUGACCAAUUUCCUCACUAAGAACAUCAUCCUCAGCAAACUGACACAAGAACAGAAAAUGAAACACCGCAUAUUCUCACUCAUAGAUGGAGUGGUACCUGCAAGUGGCAAGAACAUCAUACUCUGGAUACAGUGAAAAGGUGACCAGGAAGACGGUCUUCACCAGUAACCUACACAGGCAGCAUCUUGAUCUUGGACUUCCCAGUAUACAGAACUGUGAGAAAUAAACAUCUAUUGUUUAAAUCA
rnacentral:lncRNA from 13 species